GGCCUGAGUCUAUUGGGAUCUCCAAAAAAAAUUUGAGGAUGGUUCCUCCAAUCUUGAUUAUAUGUGUUUAAAAAUGAUUCAUUGACAGGAUUAGAGUAACCUUGAGUAGCUUGAACUUGUUCUUGGAUGAAAGAUAAAAAUUAUGCAGUCGUGGGAUAUUCACUCACAUGAUGGGCUAAGCUAGCACAGAUAGAACAAAUCUUCUAAUAAUUGG
rnacentral:lncRNA from 1 species